UUCACAGCCCUCAGUCCUGCCCACCUCGUGAUGGUGGUGAUGGGGUUGGGGGGAGGUGGAGUUGAAGGGGAAAGGAGAACCAUGGGCCAAUAUGUAUCUGGCCAAGAGCAGAGGGAAGCCUGAGGGAAGAAGGUGUAUCAUGCCAGAGGCCAGGAGCCGGUUCUGAUCAGGGAAGAAUGGAGAAACAACCUAGGGGAGACGUGGAGAGAGUGGAUAAAUGGAGAAGAGGCAGACCAGAGGGCCAGGACCGGGCCUUUAAGGAUUAUCCAGGGAAGAAUAAGCAGAAAAGAUGUCAUCUGGAGCAUUGUGUUCAUUUCUGGGUACCAUAGCUUAAGAGAGACAUUGAUUAGUGAGAGAUUGUCCAGAGGAGGGUGGCCAGGAGGGUGAAGUCUUGAGUCCAUCUUGUAUGGAGACUAGUUGAAGAAACUGGAGAUAUUUAACUUGGAGAUGAUUC